rnacentral:lncRNA from 1 species
CUGAAGAGAAGAAGUUCGGUGGAGGCGGAAGUUUGUACAUUAGCACCAACGUGGUGGACAACGGUGGUGUGUGUGAGAGUGUCAGGGAUAGAAACGGGUUUAUAUUAACCUAAAAGUGUCGCGUUUUGUGCUUAUUUACAGGAUCCACCACGAUUUGUAGCUAGCUAGCUCACUUCUCUUUUUUUAGCGUGAUUUUAAAAAGGUUUUGUUAGCUUAGCACUUAAACUACACGUGGAUGGUGUUAUUCAUAAAUUAGAUUAUCUGAAGAAGGACCUCCAGUGACUGAAGCACGUGGACCUGUCUGCCUAGUUCACCUGCAGAGAGAGGACAACAGAGAUCAGAAGACUCCACAACAUUUGCAUAUUCAUCAUCUGACUGUUUUGGCUUUGUACUGUAAAUAAGUUCUUCAAUAAACACAGUUUGUAUACCUGGUAUAUUCA